rnacentral:rRNA from 1 species
AUUGAACGCUGGCGGCAGGCCUAACACAUGCAAGUCGAACGAGUGGCGGACGGGUGAGUCAUGUCUGGGAAACUGCCUGAUGGCGGGGGAUAACUACUGGCACCGGUAGCUAAUACCGCAUACCAUCGGAUGUGCCCAGAUGGGAUUAGCUAGUAGGUGGGGGAACGGCGCACCUAGGCGACGAUCCCGAGCUGGUCUGAGAGGAUGACCAGCCGCACUGGAAGUGAGACACGGUCCAGACGCCUACGGGAGGCAGCGUUGGGGAAUAUUGCGAAGUGGGGACAAGCCUGAGGGAGCCAUGCCGCGUGAAUGAAGAAGGCCGUCGGGUGGUAAAGUGCUUUCGGCGGGGAGGCGUUACCCGCAGAAUAAGCGCCGGCUAACUCCGUGCCAGCAGCCGCGGUAAUUC